UACGGAGGGGGCUAGCGUUAUUCGGAAUUACUGGGCGUAAAGCGCACGUAGGCGGAUUGGAAAGUUGGAGGUGAAAUCCCAGGGCUCAACCUUGGAACUGCCUUCAAAACUCCCAGUCUUGAGGUCGAGAGAGGUGAGUGGAAUUCCGAGUGUAGAGGUGAAAUUCGUAGAUAUUCGGAGGAACACCAGAGGCGAAGGCGGCUCACUGGCUCGAUACUGACGCUGAGGUGCGAAAGCGCGGGGAGCAAACAGG
rnacentral:rRNA from 1 species